GAUGAACGCUGGCGGCGUGCCUAAUACAUGCAAGUCGAGCGAAGCGAGGACGGGGGAGGAACACGUGGAAGACCUCCUUUACGCAUGGGAUAAAGUCGGGAAACCGGAGGUCAACCGGAUAUUUAUUGAUGGAUACACGCUGCAUCAGCUAGUUGGUAAGGUAACGGCUUACCAAGGACACGAUGCAUAGCCGACCUGAGAGGGUGAUCGACCACACUGGAACGGAGACACGGUCCAGACUCCGACGGGAGGCAUCAGUAGGGAAUCGUCCGAAAUGGGCGAAAGCCUGACCGAGCAACGCCGCGUGAGUGAUGAAGGUCUUCGGAUCUUAAAACUCUGUUAUUAGGGAAGCGGUAUCUAAUCAGAAAGCCACGGCUAACUACGUGCCAGCAGCCGCGGUAAUAC
rnacentral:rRNA from 1 species